GUCGAACGGCAGCACGGAGAGCAAUCCUGGUGGCGAGUGGCGAACGGGUGAGUAAUACAUCGGAACGUGCCCAAUCGUGGGGGAUAACGCAGCGAAAGCUGUGCUAAUACCGCAUGAGAUCUACGGAUGAAAGCAGGGGACCGCAAGGCCUUGCGCGAAUGGAGCGGCCGAUGGCAGAUUAGGUAGUUGGUGAGGUAAAGGCUCACCAAGCCUGCGAUCUGUAGCUGGUCUGAGAGGACGACCAGCCACACUGGGACUGAGACACGGCCCAGACUCCUACGGGAGGCAGCAGUGGGGAAUUUUGGACAAUGGGCGCAAGCCUGAUCCAGCCAUGCCGCGUGCAGGAUGAAGGCCUUCGGGUUGUAAACUGCUUUUGUACGGAACGAAAAGGCUUUCUCUAAUAAAGAGGGCUCAUGACGGUACCGUAAGAAUAAGCACCGGCUAACUACGUGCCAGCAGCCGCGGUAAUACGUAGGGUGCAAGCGUUAAUCGGAAUUACUGGGCGUAAAGCGUGCGCAGGCGGUGAUGUAAGACAGUUGUGAAAUCCCCGGGCUCAACCUGGGAACUGCAUCUGUGACUGCAUUGCUGGAGUGCGGCAGAGGGGGAUGGAAUUCCGCGUGUAGCAGUGAAAUGCGUAGAUAUGC
rnacentral:rRNA from 1 species